rnacentral:rRNA from 1 species
UGGGGAAUAUUGGACAAUGGGCGCAAGCCUGAUCCAGCCAUGCCGCGUGAGUGACGAAGGCCCUAGGGUUGUAAAGCUCUUUUGGCGGGGACGAUAAUGACGGUACCCGCAGAAUAAGCUCCGGCUAACUUCGUGCCAGCAGCCGCGGUAAUACGAAGGGAGCUAGCGUUGUUCGGAAUCACUGGGCGUAAAGCGCACGUAGGCGGAUUUGUUAGUCAGGGGUGAAAUCCCGGGGCUCAACCUCGGAACUGCCUUUGAUACUGCAAGUCUGGAGUCCGGAAGAGGUGGGUGGAAUUCCUAGUGUAGAGGUGAAAUUCAUAGAUAUUAGGAAGAACACCGGUGGCGAAGGCGGCCCACUGGUCCGGUACUGACGCUGAGGUGCGAAAGCGUGGGGAGCAAACAGGAUUAGAUACCCCCGUAGUCC